UGCCCUAUAAUCCAAUCAAAAUGUAUAAAUAGAUGGAUAUUUUUUGUCUCCCGACAACUCAUGUACUGAUGUUUUAAAUAAAUAAAGGCAUUUAGUUCAUAAUAUGCUGCAUCUUAUUUUUUGAUGAACCCCAUAAAUUAGAGCUAUGGUUUUAGGGUUAUGAUGCGAUCAUACCAAGUGAGAUCUAAAACCUUAAAACUCUAAUUUUAAAUAUUCCUAGUCGAUGGAACAUUGAGUAGGGGAUCAAUGUUUCCGGUAAGACUGGUACAUCCUGUGUAUGCU
rnacentral:lncRNA from 1 species